ensembl:lncRNA
AAUUACACGAUGACAAAAUUUUUGCUGCUAUUGCUGAUUUUCCUUUUUUCCUUAACCCCAGAAAAUCUAACCCAGCAAAACUUAUUUAUUUAUUUAUUUAUUUAUUUUUGUUGGGAGCAACAUCUUUGCGAGGCAACGCUGUCUGUGUAGCUAUAGCAGCAAUUUAUUCGGUGCGUGACCCAGUGAUGACGUGGGGGAAUUUUGCCUGAUGCAAUGGAGAAUGUGAGAUGUUGACAACUUUCCCAACAGUGGCUCAUCAGCGGAGACCUGCAUGGUGCCUGGGCAUGGAUAUGAGGAGGAUUUAACAUCGGCAGUAAGAUGAGACACAGUAAAGGGAAUCCUCAACAUGUCUUUCUUUCCCUCUGUCCUUGUUAUCAACCAUAGGAUAAGUGCAAGCACUGAUGUUUGACAGCAACUGGGAAUAGUUUCUCUCAUAUGGACUUUUGCUUGUCUAACAGGAAAUAGGUGAGCACCUGACUUCUAACAGAAAGGAGUUAGUUUACCCAGCAAUUAUGUGUCUCCUAACUACUGCUUGGUAUUUAAAGAGAUGAUUUGGUGUUGAGGAAAACAGAUAUGCUUCAGAUAUGGGGCGGAUGAGGCCUCAGAUGCGUGGGUACAAUGCUGUGGGACCCAAGCCUGCUGCAGAACCUAUAAGAGCUGAAAAAAAAGCCAUACUUAGGACUGGGAGCUCACAAAUAGCCUGUCCAGGUAAGGCCUGCUCUAAACGGUGCUGUUUUUCAAGUAUUUGCAUAUGUCCAGAGUGCAUUUCAAUGAGAAUGAGACCAAAAUUCUGGAGAUGCUUUUGGACCACUAAUCCAGAGGGCAGGGAUUUUGUGUCUGCGCGGGGUGGCAUUUUUUCUUCCAAGCAGUGGAGUAACUUGGGACUUCCUCCUAUUGCUGAUCCAAACAUGCCACCUACUGUUUGUUGGAAGGGAGACAUGGUGUAGCCAGUAAAACCAGUGCAAACGUUAACCAGACUAGAUGCAAUGCACCUGGAAAACACUCUCUAGCAGCCAGUUGGAGAACCUGGCCAUCACAGGUUCAUCUGCUCUCCACCAUCACAGAAGAAUCAUCCUGCAACCUGGUGCUUCGGAUGUGCACAUGUCAGGGAGCAGCAAUGCCAAAGCCUGGACAGCAGGAGGAAGCAAACAUAGAGCGGGGCAGGAAAAACUGGUGUUAAAAUGAUACUGGCUUUGCAAGGCAACACUCAUCAGCUACUUCACAGCAAUAGCACAGGGGGUCUCUGAGAGGAAGCUGUGUCUCUGUAGGAGGGAAAAUGAACCACAGAAUAGUUGGGGUUGGCAGGGCCCUGUGGGUCCAUGUGGCACAACCCCUGCUCCAACAGGGACAGCCAGCACAGGGAGCCCAGCAUUUUCCUUGUUGGACUUCAUGCCAUCGCUGUCACCCAGACCCCCUAUCUUUCUAUCUGGACCCCCCUAGGCCUCUCCUAGUGUUGUGGAUGCCACUGACAGCACUGCAGCACGGGGAAAGAUCUGCUCCUGCUUCCCUGCUGCCUCUCCUCGCAGGCCUCGGCCCUGGCCUGCUGCUGAGGGAGGGAGGCCAUGUUGGGCCUGCAUGCUGGGGUGCCAGGUGCCUCAGGACCGUCUCGCUUGUAGGGGACCCAGCUGGCUGUGGCGAUGCAACUGCGGUGCCCUUCUGUGGCAAAGAUAGAGAACUGCAGCCCUCUUUCAGGCUCCUUUGUGCAAACCAAGCAGGUUUGCCCUGGGCAGGAGAGCUACAAGCUGAGAUCCUUGUAAGGGCUGAGAGGUGGCAGAUGCCCACAGAGAGGGGAGGAAAGAAGGGGUUAAAGCACAGAGGGAGGGACGAGGCUACAGCUAGCAGAUGUCUGGGGCUGAAAAGUAGGUCACCUAUUUCUGCCGGGGGGGUGGGAUUUGAAAAUCGACAUGGAUGUGCAAACAAAGCCAAGCAGCGCAUCAAGGAGUAGAACUGAAGGCUCGAGCCUGGCAGAGAUCCUCUGAGGACACCGUGCUGCUAUAGCACAUCGGGAACAGCUAUUAAUUAAGAUUAUCUUUUCAAAAAUUACUUUAUCUUCAUGAGCACAUAUAACUCUUGUUGACGUCUUUGCCACGGAGUGCACGGAGGACCGUCACUCCUGAGGCUGUGGUCUUUGGUGUGCAUGUCUCUCUCUUUUCUAAGGUAAAAAGGGUUAAAUACUACUGCCCAAGCAGGUCAUGAGGUCUCUGUAAGGCAUUCUCUGUCUCAGAGGUUGGAACUGUAUGUAGCUAAAUGUUAGGAACCUAAUCCAGGCACUCCUGAUCAUGUAAUAUACACCACACAUAUGGGGACAGCAGGCUGGGGGAGAUAGGAAGAGAUGGGGUGAAACGAAGCAAGUUAAUCCACAGAAAGUGGGUUUCUCUGGACAAGUCAGGAUGGCAUCAUUUGGUAACGAUUUAGUGUCGCUAAUUUAUUCAGAAAGAAUUAAUUUGAGGAGGAAUUCAGACUGACAUAAAAGCAAACGCUCUGAUCGGUUCAUAUUCUAGGUGCCUAGGUCUCUGUCAUAUACUAAUCGCUCCUGACACACCAUUGUCAUAGGAGCAUUUGGCUCACUGCAACACAAGAGAAUUUUCAGGCUCAAAAAACAAAUCUAAAAGACUCA